GAGCAGCACUCAAAAUGUGUGCAUUGGACUCUGCAGAAUGAUGAGCAAUGAAAAUCAAACCUACACUUUCUACAAAAUAUAACUGCCAGUCAUUUCUCAGAUCUUUGAAUUAGCUGCUGGUCAGCUUGUCAUGGGGAUGUUUCUGCCUACUCAGCUGGAGUAACUCAAGAGUGUGUGGUGAGCUAGGCGCUGAAUCAUCUUGGUUGGGAUUUGCUAUGGAUGUUUUUGCUCCAUUUACUCCACAAUGGAAAGGCACUAAUGUUUUAAAUGGCCAGUCAUCUAUAUGCAAGAAAGUGUCACGAGUAGACCAGCAAUGCAACAUGCUACACCCACUGACUACCACCCUAAUCUUCUCAAGUGUGUCUUUGAAAAUCCAGCAAAUGCACAAAUGGAGCACAUCCAACCUGAGAUGAAGAGUCUGAGCCUUUCCACAGAAGUUGUGUGAGGUGCUAAAGUUUUGUGGCCACUAUUUGUACUCUGUACAUGAUUCCAUCUCCAAAUUUAACAUUCUCUUGGUGAUAGGAAGAGAGUUUUCUUGUUAUACCAACAGUCUAUACUUCUACGUCAUUAUGAAAAACGGAGAGAUUAGAAACAAAGAUAACAUGGCUGGCCAUGUGCUGUCUUAGGGUUUCUAUUUCUGUGAAGAGACACCAUGACCACAGCAACUCUUACAAAGGAAAACAUUUAACUGGGGCUGGCUUACAGAAGUUUCAGAAGUUUAGUCCAUUAUCUUCACGGCAGUGUGCAGACAGACAUGGUGCUGGAGAAGGAACUGAGAGUUCUACAUCCUGACACACUUCCUCCAACAAAAAUCACACCUCCUAAUAGUGCCUCUCCCUAUGGGGGCCAUAUUCUUUCAAACCACCACACAUGCUAUACAUGCAAACUUGGUCCAAAGCCCAAGUUCUACCCUGGAUGUGUCUGUUCAACCAGAAGACAAUGUAUACUUAGAUAUCUUCCUAGGAACCACCCUCACCUCAUAGGAAACCCUGUCUCUUCUUGGUCUGUGUCAGUGGAAGUCCUCCAUGAUGACACAGGAGUGGGUGCUGACAAAUGGCAUACCCUGUGCUAGACACCCCUUCUUUUCUGUUCAUUUCAAACUUAGGAAGUAAAAUAUUGUGAAAUC